GUGCCCACUUCAGCAGCACAUAUACUAAAAUUGGAACGAUACAGAGAAGAUUAGCAUGCUCAAGUGGGAGAUGAUGAUGAUGGGAGAGAGAGAAGGACAGCAUUA